rnacentral:rRNA from 1 species
GACGAACGCUGGCGGCGUGCUUAACACAUGCAAGUCGAACGGAAAGGCCCGGCUUUUGUGGGGUGCUCGAGUGGCGAACGGGUGAGUAACACGUGAGUAACCUGUCCUUGACUGUGGGAUAACUUCAGGAAACUGGGGCUAAUACCGGAUAGGAGCUUUUGCUGCACGGUGGGGGUUGGAAAGUUUCGGCGGUUGGGGAUGGACUCGCGGCUUAUCGGCUUGUUGGUGGGGUAGUUGCUUACCAAGGCUUUGACGGGUAGCCGGCCUGAGAGGGUGGCCGGCCACAUUGGGACUGCGAUACGGCCCAGACUCCUACGGGAGGCAGCAGUGGAGAGUAUUGCACAGUGGGCGGAAGCCUGAUGCAGCACCGCCGCGUGCGGGAUGACGGCCUUCGGGUUGUAAACCGCUUUCGCCUGUGACGAGGCGUGAGUGACGGUAAUGGGUAAAGAAGCACCGGCUGACUACGUG